rnacentral:rRNA from 1 species
GACGAACGCUGGCGGCGUGCUUAACACAUGCAAGUCGAACGGAAAGGCCCUGCUUUUGUGGGGUGCCCGAGUGGCGAACGGGUGAGUAACACGUGAGUAACCUGCCCUUGACUUUGGGACAACUUCAGGAAACUGGGGCUAAUACCGGAUAGGAGCUCCUGCUGCAUGGGGGGGGUUGGACAGUUUCGGCGGUUGGGGAUGGACUCGCGGCUUAUCAGCUUGUUGGUGGGGUAGUGGCUUACCAAGGCUUUGACGGGUAGCCGGCCUGAGAGGGUGACCGGCCACAUUGGGACUGAGAUACGGCCCAGACUCCUACGGGAGGCAGAAGUGGGGAAUAUUGCACAAUGGGCGGAAGCCUGAUGCAGCAACGCCGCGUGCGGGAUGACGGCCUUCGGGUUGUAAACCGCUUUCGCCUGUGACGAAGCGUGAGUGACGGUAAUGGGUAAAGAAGCACCGGCUAACUACGUG